AUAUCAAUAAGCGGAGGAAAAGAAACUAACAAGGAUUCCCCUAGUAACGGCGAGUGAAGCGGGAAGAGCUCAAAUUUAAAAUCUGGCUUCUUUGAAGUCCGAGUUGUAUUCUAUAGAAGUGUUUUCCUUUGAGUACCGAGAUACAAGUCUUCUGGAAAGAAGCAUCAUAGAGGGUGAGAAUCCCGUCCAUGAUCUCGAGUGGCUUGAUUUUGUGAUACACUUUCUACGAGUCAGGUUGUUUGGGAAUGCAGCCUAAAAUGGGUGGUAAAUUUCAUCUAAAGCUAAAUAUUGGCGAGAGACCGAUAGCGAACAAGUACCGUGAGGGAAAGAUGAAAAGAACUUUGAAAGGAGAGUUAAACAGUACGUGAAAUUGUUGAAAGGGAAACGUUUGAAACCAGUCAGUUUGCUUGUAAUCAAUCUAUUCUUUGGGAUGGAUGCACUUGCAAGUUUACUUGUCAAUGUCAGUUUGAUGGGUUGGAAAAAGACCUUUGAAAUGUGGCUAUCUUCGGGUAGUGUUAUAGUCAUUGGUGAAAUACAACCUAUUGGACUGAGGAAUGCAGUUGAAAUGUCGGCCUUUAGGUGUUUAGUUUGAGGGGUUAUUAGACAAUUUAUUGACUAGUAAUCAUUAAAAUUAAUAGCGUAUUUGGCUUCUAAUCAGCUUAGGUCAUUGACUUAAUGGUUUUAAAUGA
rnacentral:rRNA from 1 species